GUUAAUGUAGCAAAACUUGGUAUUGCAAAAGAUCUAAGCCCUUUUUACAGGGGUUCAAAUCCCCUCAUUAACU
rnacentral:tRNA from 1 species